rnacentral:rRNA from 1 species
GCUGAGCCGCGAAAGGGGGAGCAAACGUAGAUAACCUGCCCGUAAACGAUAACGCACGGAAACCUGGGCCAAUAACACAUAAGCAUUCCGCAUGGGGAAUCGGGAAAGACGGAUCAAAUCGGGGCUGCCACUUAUGGAUGGACCUACGGCGCAUUAGCUAGUUGGUGGGGUAACGGCUCACCAAGGCGACGAUGCGUAGCCGACCUGAGAGGGUGAUCGGCCACACUGGGACUGAGACACGGCCCAGACUCCUACGGGAGGCAGCAGUAGGGAAUCUUCCGCAAUGGACGCAAGUCUGACGGAGCAACGCCGCGUGAGUGAUGAAGGUUUUCGGAUCGUAAAGCUCUGUUGCCAGGGAAGAACGCUAUGGAGAGUAACUGCUCUAUAGGUGACGGUACCUGAGAAGAAAGCCCCGGCUAACUACGUGCCAGCAGCCGCGGUAAUACGUAGGGGGCAAGCGUUGUCCGGAAUUAUUGGGCGUAAAGCGCGCGCAGGCGGUCAUGUAAGUCUGGUGUUUAAACCCGGGGCUCAACUCCGGGUCGCAUCGGAAACUGUGUGACUUGAGUGCAGAAGAGGAAAGUGGAAUUCCACGUGUAGCGGUGAAAUGCGUAGAGAUGUGGAGGAACACCAGUGGCGAACCCGACUCGCUGGGGUAACCGCACCGAGACGCGAAAGUGGGGAGCAAACAGGUUAAAUACC